GCCCCUGUAGGCUAACUGGAUAAACCACAUGACUACGGAUCAUGAUUUAGGGGUUCGAAUCCUCUCGGGGGCGCCA
rnacentral:tRNA from 7 species